rnacentral:rRNA from 1 species
UAAACUACGAUUAGAUACCCUAUUAUUUUAAAUGUGAAUUUUAAUACUUGAGUAGUAUUAGUUAUGUUCUUGAAACUCAAAGAAUUUGGCGGUGUUUUAGUCCUUUCAGAGGAACCUGUCCCGUGAUCGAUAGUCCACGUUUUACCUUACUUAUUCUUGUUAACAGCUUGUAUACCGCCGUCGUCAGAAUGUCCUUUGAGGGAAAUAAUUUUCUGGAUUUUUUAUUAAAAUUGAUGUCAGGUCAAGGUGCAGUUUAUGAUUAAGUGGAGAUGGGUUACAAUAAAUUUAUUUAUACGGAUAAUUAGUGGAAUCAUUGGUUUGAAGGUGGAUUUGAUUGUAAUUUGUUCAAUAAAAUUUGAAUGAUUUUGGCUCUAAAACAUGCACACAUCGCCCGUCGCUCUUA